rnacentral:rRNA from 1 species
GUCUGUGGCCAUGCCACCCUGAAUGCACCUGAACCCAUCUCGUCUUGGAAGUUAAGCAGGAUUGGGCCUGGUUAGUACUUGGAUGGGAGAAGAGAUAUUUGUUACACUAUAAAGA